UACGUAGGCCCCGAGCGUUGUCCGGAUUUAUUGGGCGUAAAGCGAGCGCAGGUGGUUUAUUAAGUCUGGUGUAAAAGGCAGUGGCUCAACCAUUGUAUGCAUUGGAAACUGGUAGACUUGAGUGCAGGAGAGGAGAGUGGAAUUCCAUGUGUAGCGGUGAAAUGCGUUGAUAUAUGGAGGAACACCGGUGGCGAAAGCGGCUCUCUGGCCUGUAACUGACACUGAGGCUCGAAAGCGUGGGGAGCAAACAGG
rnacentral:rRNA from 1 species